GACGGAGGAUGCAAGCGUUAUCCGGAAUGAUUGGGCGUAAAGCGUCUGCAGGUGGCAGUUCCAGUCUGCUGUCAAAGACCGGGGCUUAACUUCGGAAAGGCAGUGGAAACUGAACAGCUAGAGUAUGGUAGGGGCAGAGGGAAUUCCUGGUGUAGCGGUGAAAUGCGUAGAGAUCAGGAAGAACAUCGGUGGCGAAGGCGCUCUGCUGGACCAUAACUGACACUCAGGGACGAAAGCUAGGGGAGCGAAUGGG
rnacentral:rRNA from 1 species